UACGUAGGGUGCGAGCGUUAAUCGGAAUUACUGGGCGUAAAGCGUGCGCAGGCGGUUUUGUAAGUUUGUCGUGAAAUCCCCGGGCUCAACCUGGGAAUUGCGAUGAAGACUGCAAGGCUAGAAUCUGGCAGAGGGGGGUAGAAUUCCACGUGUAGCAGUGAAAUGCGUAGAGAUGUGGAGGAACACCGAUGGCGAAGGCAGCCCCCUGGGUCAAGAUUGACGCUCAUGCACGAAAGCGUGGGGAGCAAACAGG
rnacentral:rRNA from 1 species